UCCAAUGUCUACAGAACUGCCUGCAUCUCCUGGAACCUCCACAAGCAGAGCAGAUUGGAAGAUUUACUCUAAAAUCUUUGCCUUCCUCUGAAAGCCUAGGAUGCUUCCUCCUGUUGAUGAGAAAGUUCCAAAAACAAAAUGAUGAAAUAGAAUCACAGAACCAAACACUGGAACAUAGGACUCAAAGACUUGAUGGCUCCCCCAAAUGGCACCCUGACAUCCUGAAUGCUGCUCCAAGGUGGAAUGGCCUUCCUGCUUUAUGAACGCUCUGACCUACCUCCCUGAACACAGGUCGUAAGAACUUCUGGAUAUCAAAAAGAACCCGAAAAAUGGGCCUCCCUAAACGCCCCCAGGUUCGUUUUUCUCCACUCACCUUUAUGUCGUCCAAUUGCCCUUCUGCCCAACUGUUCAUAGUUUACCCUGUGGCUUUGGGUCUUCAUACCUGAAGACUCCAAGGUCAUGAGAAACUUUUGAUUAAAUAAACUAGCUAUGGCUCUA